GAUGAACGCUAGCUACAGGCUUAACACAUGCAAGUCGAGGGGAAACGACAUUGAAGCUUGCUUCGAUGGUCGUCGACCGGCGCACGGGUGAGUAACGCGUAUCCAACCUGCCUCUGACCAAGGGAUAACCCGUCGAAAGUCGGCCUAAUACCUUAUGCAGUCGUCGGAAGUCAUCUGAUGACGACGAAAGACUUCAUCGGUGAGAGAUGGGGAUGCGUCUGAUUAGCUUGUUGGCGGGGUAACGGCCCACCAAGGCAACGAUCAGUAGGGGUUCUGAGAGGAAGGUCCCCCACAUUGGAACUGAGACACGGUCCAAACUCCUACGGGAGGCAGCAGUGAGGAAUAUUGGUCAAUGGGCGAGAGCCUGAACCAGCCAAGUAGCGUGCAGGAUGACGGCCCUAUGGGUUGUAAACUGCUUUUAUGCGGGGAUAAAGUGAGGGACGUGUCCUUCAUUGCAGGUACCGCAUGAAUAAGGACCGGCUAAUUCCGUG
rnacentral:rRNA from 1 species